CACACCACAAUACCAAAAGAGCUGACAACAUCUAAAACGUGUUGAGCUAUUUUAAUUUUCCAGCAUCCUCCUCUGGUUCCCACUGUCACUCUGAGUUAUUUCUCUUUCAGCUGGACGCACACACAAAGGGAGAGAACUGUCAGGACCAAAUUACACAUCUGAGGGAUGCUGAACAGGAACUGAAGCACAAACUUGAGGAGAUUCUGGAAAACCGUCGCAGGAAAGACAGUGAAAUAGAGGAGGUAUGAACAACUUUAAGAAAUACUGUGUGUCGCCAUCGUAGCUGCUGCUGGUGGUUUAUAAGGAUGUUUGUGUGUCAUAUAGAAAUCCACGACCUUGAUUCAAAGACAUGAAGAGCUAGAGGAACAUUUGGCCACCAUUAACGUACGUAUCACAUAUCAUACGGAUGUACUGUUUGUGUGUUUGCUCGCUGUGGCCGUCGUGGCGUGCUGAACCUACAAACCUCUUCCGCAGGGCCUCAAACAGGAUCAGAGGAAACUUCGCCAGCUGCUGAGCAUCGCACAAGAGCAGCAGAUAUUAGCUGCGCUGAAUUUCCAUGGGAGGUCUGAGACAUUAAGUGAAGAGAGACAGUCGCCCAGCACUUCACAAAUGCGUGAGAAGGAGGAGGAGCACAAAGACGAGGGGCCUCCGCAGACUGGCAGCUGGUGGCGUCGCUGUGCCCGGAACCUGUGGAGAGGAGUUCACCUAGCAGCAAACAUCAGCCUCGGUGUCAUUCUUUCUGUGGGUAUCUUGGCCGCCGUCACGCCCGUCUGCUACACUCCAGAUAUUGACUGCAACUUUAAUUCUCUUCCACAUUUGAUUUUGGCUGCUUUUGACCUGCUGUAAAGUUCAUCACAACAAGAACUCCAUUACAUAGAGAACUUCACCCUGACAUGAUGACACUGACAUGACCUUAGACGACUAGUGACCACUCUGCACCUGUCCGCCCAGGAAGGGGGCUCCCUCAUUUGUGGUCCUUCCCAAGGUUUCUUCCUUUUUAAAUUUCCUGUUAAAGGGAUUUAUUGGGAGUUUUUCCUUGCCCUCUUGAGGGGGGUGCUACUACUAAAUUUGACAUACAACUUCAUUUGACUUGAAUUUGGCCUGAUAAUUAACACAUAGCGACUCCACACAUUUAAUCACUGUCCCUUUUGUGAGUGUCUGCAUAUUCACCUGAAUGUUUCAAACUGUUCAAACAUAAAGAUGAUGUUAUUUCC
rnacentral:lncRNA from 1 species